rnacentral:rRNA from 1 species
UACGUAGGGUGCAAGCGUUGUCCGGAAUUAUUGGGCGUAAAGAGCUCGUAGGCGGUUUGUCGCGUCUGCUGUGAAAACUCGGGGCUUAACUCCGGGCCUGCAGUGGGUACGGGCAGACUAGAGGUAUGCAGGGGAGAACGGAAUUCCUGGUGUAGCGGUGAAAUGCGCAGAUAUCAGGAGGAACACCGGUGGCGAAGGCGGGUCUCUGGGCCGUAACUGACGCUGAGACGCGAAAGCGUGGGGAGCGAACAGG